CUCUUUAGGGCCGCGCCCAUGGCAUAUGGAGGUUCCCAGGCUGGGGGUUGAAUCGGAGCUGUAGCUGCCAGCCUACGCCAGGGCCACAGCAACGUGGGAUCUGAGCAACGUCUGCGACCUACAACCACAGCUCACGGCAACGCCGGAUCCUUAACCCAAUGAACAAGGCCAGGGAUCGAACUGUAUCCUCAUGUAUCCUCAUGGAUGCCAGUCAGGUUCGUUAACCGCUGAGCCACGAUGGGAACUCCUGCGCUUCUAAUACAAAGCUCUCUUCUGUGUCAAAGGUCUGGGAAUCCUGUGACAACAGCAAACAAAUUCAAUCACCUAAUAAUGUGGAUUCCGCAGGGGCAGCGGGCUCCCUUUCUGUCCUAUGCUGGAUGACAUGAUAGAAUUUUGCAAAAAGUGGGCCUGAGUCUGACAGCUUCCUCUCUCACCUUGUUCAUGCUGGCUUGUACUGUUGCUGGAGAAAAGCCUGGGAGGUGAGGAAUCAGUCUAGGGCCACAGAGCUCAGGUCUGCCAGCCACCAGCUCUGCAACUCUAAUCAUGUUACCCCCUGGCUUAGCUUCACGUAAAUGCACAUAGGCUCCUUGUGGGAAUGGAAAGAGCUUAACACGGUACCUGGUACAAAGUAAAUGCUCGGUGACAUUAGUUGCAGCUCUCAAAAUGGUCACAUGACUGUGUUUGAGGAUACUGAGCUGGUGAUGCACCAGCCUGGUAGGUGGUGGUAGGGGAAUAAGGAGGACGCAGAGAACUGUGGGAGGAGAUAGAGGCUUGGGCUUUGCUCCAACGGGCAGAACCCUCUAUUACCGGGAGUGCUGCAUUACACAACUGUACCUGAUACGCUUCAACUGGCUCCAACUUCUAAGAGAAGAUACAAAACCAGGCAAAACAAACCUAUUCAUAGAAGUCCGGCUAGUGUCUUCCUCGUGGGAAGAUAGUGAGUGGAAGAGGGCACAGAGGAGGAUGCUGGGGAAAGGAGGUCCCACUGUGUCUUGACCUGGUGCAUGAAUUUCUCAAAAUGCAUCCAAUUCACUCCUCAAGGUCCUCUCCUCUGGGUCUCAAUAUAAGAAUCAGCCCUGGAGUUCCCAUUGUGGCACAGCGGAAACAAAUCUGACUAGCAUCCAUGAGGACACAGGUUUGAUCCCUGGCCCUGCUUAGUGGGUGAAGGAUCCAGCAUUGCCUCCAGAAGGAGAGGCCAGCAGGGGAAACCACCGCCUCACGUGCACCAUCGUUUUGCCAGCAGAUGGCACUGGUUUAGAGAGGAUGCAGCAGCUCCGGCUUUUCCCACUCUGGGCAGUUUUCUGCACAACUGGGGAGGCAAAGCUGGGAAGAAAGUUCUCAGGAACCCUGUGGGGCGGCCUUCUUGAAGGCCAACAGCUGUUCAUCCAGCAGAAGGAAGAUGAUCCAGCGCCAGGGGCCCAAAGGCGCCUGUCCCCGAAGGCCAGGGCCUGAGGUGUUCCAGCUGCCCCCAGUUAUAGUCAAAUCUGGACUAGAAACAAAAGGGCGGCUGGCCUUGCAGAACAGAGGGCGGAGGGCAGAGGGCGGAGAAGGCAGGUGAUGUGGACAGAGCAACAUGAGCGCAUUCAUUCAUGAGGAGGGGGAUAUCUGCAGAAAGUGAAUGC
rnacentral:lncRNA from 1 species